rnacentral:rRNA from 1 species
CCUGAUCCAGCAACGCCGCGUGAGGGAUGACGGCCUUCGGGUUGUAAACCUCUUUCAGCAGGGACGAAGCGAGAGUGACGGUACCUGCAGAAGAAGGACCGGCCAACUACGUGCCAGCAGCCGCGGUAAUACGUAGGGUCCGAGCGUUGUCCGGAAUUAUUGGGCGUAAAGGGCUCGUAGGCGGUUUGUCGCGUCGGGAGUGAAAACUCAGGGCUCAACCCUGAGCGUGCUUCCGAUACGGGCAGACUAGAGGUAUGCAGGGGAGAACGGAAUUCCUGGUGUAGCGGUGGAAUGCGCAGAUAUCAGGAGGAACACCGGUGGCGAAGGCGGUUCUCUGGGCAUUACCUGACGCUGAGGAGCGAAAGCAUGGGGAGCGAACAGGAUUAGAUACCCUGGUAGUCCAUGCCGUAAACGUUGGGCGCUAGGUGUGGGGACCUUCCACGGUCUCCGUGCCGCAGCUAACGCAUUAAGCGCCCCGCCUGGGGAGUACGGCCGCAAGGCUAAAACUCAAAGGAAUUGACGGGGGCCCGCACAAGCGGCGGAGCAUGCUGAUUAAUUCGAUGCAACGCGAAGAACCUUACCUGGGUUUGACAUAUACCGGAAAGCUGCAGAGAUGUAGCCCCCUUUUGGUCG